GAAGGAUUAAGAUAUUUUAAUAGAAGUGGUUUACAAAUCUUUCUGGCACCAGUUGAUUUAAAAAAAAAAAAAAAAAAAAAUUUCCACGGGAGUACCCCUUUAAGAUCCUCCCCAACUCUGCUCAAAGUGAAAUAACUGAAACCCAUUGGCCCUGAUUUACUAAGAGUUUUGUGUAGGUUUCUUUUGUGGGUUUUAAUUUCCUACAACAACAACAAAAAAUUUCAGGGUAUUUACUAAGGUUUCCCUACAUUUUCCACUUUCCCUACAUUUUGCAUUUAGGUUUUUUUUUUUGUAGUUUUGCAACAGCUGGAGGCACCCUGUUUGGGAAACACUGUCAUAUACUCAAACAAGGUGGGUGGGGAGAAAACACUGAGGACCACCAUGAUGACUUGUGGUUCAGGCAGCAUAAAAAUUAGGACAGGUUGCCUUUUAAGAGGAUUGCGUAAGAUGAAGUAAAAAAAAAAAAAAAAAAAAACGGAUGCUUUGUCAAAAAAAAAGCAGAUUUUUAAUUUUUUUUUAUAAAUAUUGCAAACCUCUAAAUAUAUUCUACUUGUGGUUAAACGUUUAUACCAAUAUUCAUCCCCAUAGAUGGACUUACCGUAUUUUUCGUCCUAUAGGACGCACCCAAUUUAUAGGUGCAAAAUCUAAAAAAAAUAAACAUUUUGAACCCAAUAGUGGUCCGCAGAUUGAAGACCACUGCAUUGGAGGUAAUACUCACGUGUUCCCGCCGCUCCGGACCCGACACCGCUGCCCUGGAUGUCGCUCCAUCGCUGUCGCCGUGUCCCCGUCGCUCCGGAACGUCUCUGCUGCCGGCCGGGUAUCUUCGCUCUCUGUCGCCGCCAUCACGUCGUUACGCACGUACGCGACGACGUGAUGACGAGGAAGGAGAGCGCCGGCCAUACAGGGGAUCCCUGAACGGAGAAGACACCGAGGAGGCAGGUAAGGUCCCUCCCAGUGUCCUGUAAGCACUAACCCGGCUAUUCAGUCGGGCUGUUCGGGACCGCUGGGUUAGUGUCACUUUCCCUUCAGAUGUGGCGGUCAGCUUUGAUCGCCGUGUCUGAAGGGUUAAUACAGGGCAUCACCGCGAUCGGUGAUGUCCUGUAUUGGCCGCAGGUCCCGGCCGUUGAUGGCCGCAGGGACCGCCGGGAUAGGUGUGUAUUCGCCGUAUAAGACGCACCGACUUUUUCCCCCCAGUUUUGGGGAAGAAAAAGUGCGUCUUAUACGGCGAAAAAUACGGUAUAUUUGCCUUUUCAUAAAUUUAGGAGACUGUUACGGGGAGAGAUGUUGUCACUUGCCUUUUCCAGAAAACAGACAUCACUAGAAGAGUACAGAAAAAUAAAAAAAUCAGGAUCUUU